UGCACAGACCAGCCCGUCUGCAGCCUCGAGAGGGAACAGCACAGACGACGUGGAGGCCUCCCCGGUGCAAACUCCGGCAGCCCCUACCACAUCCACCAAGCCCCCCCGAGAACAGUCAGUGGACGGCCCAGGUGCCGCGUGCCGGGACGACAAGCGCGGGCAGCAGAGACGGCCCAGGUGGCAACAGAGACGGCCCAGGUGGCAACAGAGGAGAGAGUGGCAGCAGCAGAUCAAACCCCAAAGCCCCUGCCCUGGGUGGGUGCCAGCUUCCCUGAGACAUUCCGUGCCUGUGACAUUGCUGUGUGCAGAGAUGAACGAGCCGGGAAAAGCCACUGCACCCUGAAGAACUACAAUACGGUGGGGGUGGCAGAUGCCAAUCAAUGACACAGAUACCUAUUUAA
rnacentral:antisense_RNA from 1 species